GAUGAACGCUGGCGGCGUGCCUAAUUCAUGCAAGUCGAGCGAAUGGAUUAAGAGCUUGCUCUUAUGAAGUUAGCGGCGGACGGGUGAGUAACACGUGGGUAACCUGCCCAUAAGACUGGGAUAACUCCGGGAAACCGGGGCUAAUACCGGAUAACAUUUUGAACCGCAUGGUUCGAAAUUGAAAGGCGGCUUCGGCUGUCACUUAUGGAUGGACCCGCGUCGCAUUAGCUAGUUGGUGAGGUAACGGCUCACCAAGGCAACGAUGCGUAGCCGACCUGAGAGGGUGAUCGGCCACACUGGGACUGAGACACGGCCCAGACUCCUACGGGGGGCAGCAGUAGGGAAUCUUCCACAAUGGACGAAAGUCUGACGGAGCAACGCCGCGUGAGUGAUGAAGGCUUUCGGGUCGUAAAACUCUGUCGUUAGGGAAGAACAAGUGCUAGUUGAAUAAGCUGGCACCUUGACGGUACCUAACCAGAAAGCCACGGCUAACUACGUGCCAGCCGCCGCGGUAA
rnacentral:rRNA from 1 species